rnacentral:lncRNA from 1 species
GGAAUGAUUCCUGUUGCGAGCCGAACGUCCUCAUCUUUAACUCGGUCAAAGAUCUCCCUCGACAAGCGUGCAGGGAUGUGAAACGGUUAUGAACAGUGACCUUUGAAGUUUGCGCCCUUCGACUGAAUCAAGCGAUUCGGCUGACGAGGGAUCGGAUCAGCCGAGUUCAAAAACUCUACUGUAGAUUCGGUUCGGCUGGAUGAGCCGAAUGUACGGACUGU